CGGUGUGGUUUUAAUUGGUGCA
rnacentral:siRNA from 1 species